rnacentral:lncRNA from 1 species
GAGUGCCCCCUUUUCAUUUAUACUUUUCCUUUUCUCGAGCCAUGUCCUUGAUGGGAGCUCCCACUCAUCGAAGGUGCAUGUCGGGUUGGGCUUCGUAUGAUGGGCCCCUUUGGUGUGGAAUUUUACGGCUGGAAUGUUGUCUAAUAAUCAUCCUCAUCCCUUUGAAAAUCUUACGUGGGAGCCUCGUCCAAUUCUUCUCCUCUUUCAUUCCUUGUCUCAUCGAAUCCAGUGUUGAAUGAUCCAGAUAUAUCCAAAUUUGGCAGGUAAUUUGGUUCUCUGAUAUUUGUUUGCCGCGUAAAUUCCUGAAUUACUAGUCUUAUUUCUUUCAUCCAGUGGAUCAUCCAAUCUAUUUUUGUGGUCUCACUUGUUGUUUCUUUCUGAGCUCUUGUUGUUGCUUUCUUUAAUUAUGUUGGAACAUCCAUUUUAUGCUUUGUCAUUUGGUUCCAAUCUGUAAUUUGUUUUCUCUAAAGCUCAACAUAUUGAGUGUACAAGGAAUCUCCAAUCAAACUCUUUGUCGGCUUCAUGAAUUCCUCAUGGUCUUCCAAUAGAAUUUUAGCCUUUCUGCAUAAAGCUGUCACAAGAUGAGGAAAGAAGACCUCAACUUUUUGGUUACGAAUGCAUCACUUCAUAUCUUGAUGGAUCCAUCGUUCGACACAUAUCUAUUUUUUUUACAGAACAUUGUACAACAAAAUAGCUCGAAAAUUAUUUAAAUUAGAGAUAUCUAAUGUAGGAGUUAUUCUAGUACAAAUUAGUUGCAUCCACAUCUUAGCUAUUGGGAACAUAAUUGCCUGAUUAAUGUUAGUCGAUAACUCAGUAUUCGGUCUACGGUUCCAUACACCUCUUUCUUGAGUUAAAUAUUUUACAAUGUCGUCUAUUUCUAUGUUCCUAAACAUAUUCAAAUCAAUGUUAUCUUAAAAAUCUUUUGCAUAGUAUGAGACAUUGUAAAAUUCACAUAUUUCUCAAAGAGUAACCCGAACUUCAUUACCCCUUACUGUAACAAUUUCCCAUAUUUCAUCAUACAGUCUCAUUGUCUCUUAAUCUCUAAAAGAGGCAUAAAAUUCUUGAACUACUUAAAUGACUUCAUUUUCUUUAGAAGUGACACAAAAUCGCUCCCAAUGAUGGUACCGAACCAAUGUCCAAAUCUCAUUACAGAAAACCAUUGAUGCAAAUCCUUGUUUUUGAAUAAAAUUCUUCCCUUGUAGUUCGAGAAAGUUUUUCUCGGCAUUUGGAUUUUGAAAUUUCUGAGGAUCUAAAACCAUCAAAGUUUCUUGCACGUUGGUUUUUCUAAUUUUCCUAGGAGGCAUAUUUGCUAUAAUCUUCACUAGCAAUACUAAAAAUAGCAGACAAUAUUUCAAAAGCAAUGGAACAGUAAAUUUUGAUGUUUUGGAACUUUUAACCUUGACUUUAGAGUCUUCUUGUUCCCCUCCCCAAGAUUAUGAAGACUUCCCUUGUUAAUGAUUAUAGUCACACCUGCACUAAAUAAAAUGGGAAAAGAUUGCAACAAAAUAGAAGAGAAAGGGAAAAGAAGUAGUUAGGCUUUGAAGAUUUUUUAUAUGAUUUGAGAGAGUUUAGAAAUUAAAAGAGCUUUAGGGUUUGGUUAAAAGAGUGUUUUAAAUUUAAAAAAGGGUUUUGAAGGUUAAAAUCUGGGUAAAAUGAAGUUAAAAGCCGACGGGUUGCACAAUUGGGUCGGGUCAACCCUGCAAAAAAUUGUAGUGAUGUCACCACAUAGCAGUUCUGUGUCGUGACAUCCCUUGCAGGUUAUCGUUGUCGCAGCACACUUUGAAAUUUUAAAAACCUAGGUCGGUUGUCUUCUAUGUCAUGAUACAGGGAUUCUGUGUUGCAAUAUCACAAUGAUUUUCUUGAUUCUUUGAUACUGGACAUGGUGUCGUGACACAGGGGUUCUGUGUUGCGACACCAGCUCUAUUUUGAGCCAAAUUUUCACUCCCAAAGUGUCUAAAUUCCUAUAAAUAUCAAUGUUAAUAAAAAUUAAAUUCUAAGCUAAGAAAUUAGUUAAAUAUACAAUUAUAUACAUAAAAUUGAAAAAUAAUAAGUUUUGUUAUCAAAUUUAUCCGUUAGCUCGAGCAAUGUGCAUGAGGGUGUUUCUCUUAUUCCAUUUCUGUUAAUGUUGGUCUAGUAUCCAUCAUGUCAUUCUGUCUUUCUUCAUUUAUCCCACUCUUUAAUUCUAUUCUUUCAUCAUGUAUUUACCAUGGAAAAUACCUUUGUCAAAUCAAAAUGCUUAUCCAGAGGUAUGAGAAUUUUGUAACUUAGCGAUUGCACGAACCUCUUGUAUUCCUAUUGUUACAGGUUAUCCUAAUGGUAUAUUUUACCUCCUUUUUAAUUUUUCUGCCUCAAUAGUCUUUGGAUGACCCAGAAUUUCUUCUAAUACUAAGGGAACUUUUAAAGUUUACUUUAAAUUUUAUAUUUUCAAUUGACACCUUAUACCUAGGUUGAUGGGUCAAUCUUUCUCCUGACAUUUCUUUUAAUUGUCUAAUGCUUCCAUUGUAGGCUUCACGUAAUAAGUCCCUUCCAGUUUCCUUAACUAUGACUCCAUCCUUGAUGUUUUUAUUUGAUUAAAGAUGAUUUCUAAUUUGCUCAGAGCUUUACUAAUUUUUGCGAUCCCUAAAUUAGUGAAUAUCCUAAAAGUCUAGAGAUUUUAAAGUCCUAAGGUGUCGAUGAUUAUUCAUUGGCAAAAAGAAUGAAUAUUGAUUAGAGACUCCUAUUUAAAAUUCUCACAUUUUUUUAAAAAUUUCCUUAUUCAUUUCACAUGAGUUAUCGAACUACAAGAUAAUUGAGAUCGAUUAACAAUACUUACCUUGUCAAUUAUGUAUUGAUACUAAUGAUAUUCCUAUCGAGAUGAAACCGAUAUUGGAAAAAGAGAGAAUUCAGAACUUGACUUUCCGCAUCCAACUGUCAAUUCUAUUUUUGGCUCUAUCUCAGUUUGGAUACUCUCUUGUAACAUUAUUCCUUCCCUGUAUCCAUUCAACUUUUAUUUAUCAUUUCCCAAACUUAAAGUUUCUGGGCUACUCAAGAUUUCGCUUUCCUCUAGGUCCAUCGUUGUUAAAUUCUCCCUUUCAUUUUUGUCUUAAAUAUGACUAAACCUGCUACAAACUUCUUCUAUAUCAAUGCUCCCAUUGUUGUCCUGUGGAACUUUUAAGACUUCACCUUUGAGCUGACUCAAUUCUAUCAUUAGUAAUAUUUUUAUUUUCCUAAAUUUCCCAUUCUUCAUAGACUCUUGAUCUAUUGUAAUUCGGUGUAGCAAAUUUAAUUAGUUUUCACAUUUAAGGAAUUUGAAUACAAGCAUUUUUGUUGUGUUGUAAUCUAGUUUCUUUAGUUUUGUUUACAUUCAAUAAAAUGUACAUAUUUAGUCUUUUAUUAACCUCAAGGGUCGAAUGAGACCUAAGGGAGAGCUAACGUACCUUCUAAGUGUGCAGAAGACCAUUAUAGGACAUUUUGGGUCAAUACUGGAUGCUAUGUCGCACCAAUGGGGAGUCGAUGUCGCAACAUAGAGAGGAAAAUUGAAAAACUGAAAAAAUGCCUUCAAUGUUGAGACACAGGCUGAGGGUGUCACAAUAUAGCCCUGAAGAUGGCUACAGAGGGACAUGUUGGUUGCUACGUUGCAACACAGGUCUUGGUGUGUCGGGGCAUCGACUUUGUGAGAAGAAUAAAACACGAAGUAAGGGCGUUUUGGUCUACACAAUCAAAAUUUAAAGCUCGAGAAUGUCAGCUACCCUAGGGCUAAGGACGAUGACUACUUGAAGGCUAUAAAUAACCUCUCUGGCACACAUUAGAAACACCAUUCCAUUAGCUUAGACUUUCAAGAGAUCUGAGUUGUAAAGGAGAUUGACUCUUGUGGGUUCGCAUUCAUUAUCAAUAUUACUUAGGCUUUUCUUAAACUCUUUUUUAUUCAUUCAUUAUGAUUAAUUGUUAUAUCUACUCCAUAUUGUUUAUGAAAGCCAUGAGGAACUAAUCCUUCUAUGGGAGAUUAGCGAGUGCAAGCAUGGUCUUUUAAAUGUUUUGUGAGGUAGUUCAACGGAUCA